rnacentral:lncRNA from 1 species
CUCCAAAUACCUGUUUUAUUUUAUUUUAUAAAAAUGUUUUUACUAAUUUUAAUCCAUACGAUUUAAGUUUGACUUGUAGUUAAAUUAUAAAUGUAUUCUAUUCUUUAUCAAGAAUAUUAUAACCUUUUACACUGAAAAUUAAUAUUAUAAAAUAAUUACUUACCUAGGUGCUUCUAAAUUUAAAUAUCUAUUUUCUUCAGGAAACUGAUAUAUGAAAUGAUAUUUCUUUCAUGCAUUAAAUUAUGAUAUGUAUACAGUAAAAAUAAUUCUUAUAAUUAUUCAAGUUCAGCAGUAAAGUCAUACAGGUAAGUAUAUUUGAUACAUAGGUAUCUACAAAUUUGUUUUUGAUUUUUUUAAAAACCUAUUGAGAGUGUAUGAAAACAAUGGAACAUCUAAUAAUUUAAAUUAUAUAUUAUUGAAACAUUUAUUUUUAAUUUCUAUAUUCCGUGAGAUAGGUGUUUAUCAUUUUUUUAUGAUUAUAAUUUGAAAUGUAUGUAGGUACCUAUAUAAAAAUUGUAAAAAAAUAAUAUGCUUAAUUUUAUAUGUUUAUUGUUUAAAUUAAUUUACUAUUAUUUAUUUUUAGGUUUUACAUUUUAAUAUCUAUUAUUUCAAUAAUUCAUUUGCAAAAUAUAUUACCAAAGUUAUCAAAUCAUGACCAAAAUGUAUCUUUGCUAAGCACUUAUAUGAACAAUAGUCUGGGAUAUUGUUUCAUACUAAUCCUUGGAUAUUGGCUUUAUAAAAUUGCAAAGCAUCAAGAUUUAGGAGGUAGAGUUAUUUGUUUUAAACUAAUUUUCAAUCAAUAUUGUGUAUAAUUAAAAAUAUGAUUUAACAAUAAAUAGAUUACCAUUUAACAAGUAUGCUUUUAAAAAUAUUGCUUGAAGAUAACCAUAAUCUAGACCCAAAAUGACCUUUAUUACUUAGUUCUAAUGGAUCAAUUAACUUUACACUAAAUAUGAUUUGGAAAAAGUUCAAGAAAAAAUGAUCUCCAAGGUAUUUAAAUUUUGGCCAUGAAUGUUAAUAAUUGAUUAUUAAUCAUACAGUUCAGUUAACAUAAAGUUAAUUUUAAUAUUCUAUAAUAUUAUUUAAAAUUUUGUUUUGUUAUAGUCCUAUGAUACAAGUGAAUCAUUGAAAUUUCACGACUCAAAAUGUUAGUAGUUUUAAUUAAAGAUUUAUCAAACAUUUUAUUAGCUAUAUUCUUAAUUUUAAACGAAGGUAUACAGUCCAAGAAAUCACCACCAUUGUAUAAAACUGGCUAUUGUAUUGUGUCUAACAUUUUUAGGUAGUUCAUGAUAUCAAUAAGAGGAACACCAAUAUGUCAGUCUUCUUACAUAGGUAUGCAUUUAUUUAAGAAUAAAUAUCCUGUGCAUAUGCACCAUUAUAUUUUGUUACUCAUUACACAUUAUGGUACAAGCAAUAUCUUGUAAAAUUCUUUUAGUUAUGCUAAUGUGAAUAUUAAUAUCUGGUAAUAAUUAUGUUUUAAUUUUUCACAGUAAAUAAACAUUCCAGUAUAUAUUAUAGGUACUACACAAUUUUAUAUUAAGUUUAAAAAUAGUUAAUUUAUGAUUAUAUUUAUUAAUUAAUUUAUAAUAAAAAUUAAUACAAUUUAUUAAUUGUAAAUCUGAAUUAAUCUUGCUUGUAGGGUACCUACUUAGUAUCAAAUUCCUUCACAUUAACAUGAAAACAUAAAAUCUUUACACAAUAUCAAGUAACUAAUAUGCAAAUAGUUUUGCCCAUUCAUUAUUAUCAUCACUUUUUAUGAUCGUUCAAUUGUACCAAGUUUGUUUGCUUAAAAUAUAAUAUGUAUUUAUAAACAGUCUUUUAUUAUUAGUAACCAGAAUUUUUACAGAUUGUCUAGUUUUAUCUGCGAGUUCUACCUGUGUACAGUUUAUUAUUCAUUUACAAAACUAUUUCUAAGUUUUAAUUGAAUAUUUU